rnacentral:lncRNA from 1 species
GGUCUUUAUGUAUUGUUCUGAUUGUUGUGAUAAUUAAAAUUCAAAUUUAGAUUUGAAUCUUAAUUUAGUUAAAUAUUCUUUUGUUUCCUUCUGUUAUUUUUUUUCUGUUUUGUUGGUACUAAUUUACUUUUGUGUGUGUGUGUGUUUUUUUUUUUUGCAGAAGUUUGCUUCGAAGUUGAGGAAAUUUGAGGUAUUUAUUUCUAUGUUUCCCUAGAUAGUUUUCUUAAAAAAACACCUCCAAAUGUUUAAAUUUCGGAUUUGGUUAUAUUUUAUCUUUAUCGUUUAAUUAUUUUUUUUAGUUUUAAAACGGAGUUAUAAUUAAGAU